GUCUAGACCACAUUUAGACCUCUUUUAGACCAAAAAAUGCUCAGAGGGACCUUUGACCUCUGAGGUCUUGGAUAAAGAAAGUGAAAGUUUCAUUCUGACUCUGUUUGUGUUUCUGUUUGUGUUUGUUUUUUCAGAUCAGUUCCUGCAGACUCUCAGAGGUCUCUGAUCGUGACCCUCGUCACCUCAGCGCUCUGGAGUCACCACACUGUAAACAAACACAGGUCACCUGCAGGGUCUCAUCACUCUGUGACAGAUUAAACACUUCCUGAAUUUUAGUUAUCUGUGAUUUAUAAACUUUUAAACAGUCUGUCUGAGCUCACACAGUCACUAAAUGUGAAUAUUCAGACGUCAAAUAUUCCAAUAAAUCAACAUUUGUUUGUCGCCUCUUGUGUUAUUGUGAGAAAAUAUCUCCCUCUAGUGUUCGCUGAAGCACACAGCAGGUCUUUUUUAAAACCAACACAUCUUCAUUUCUGCAGGUUCGUCCCUCGUGUUUCAUCUGCUUCAGCUUCUCAUAGAGUUUAUAUGAGUGUGUGUGUGUGUGUGUGUGUGUGUGUGUGUGUGUGUGUGUGUGUGUGUGUGUGUGUGUGUGUGUGUGUGUGUAAAGUCAGUAUGUAAGAGUCGGACAGGAUCCAACGAUCGUUCAGUAAAGGUUCAGUCUGUAAAAUAGAGAAUAUUUAAAGGUCAGAUGACAGAAGAGGAAAUAAAUAAAUACCAGAAUUCACCUUUAAAGUCUGUUGAGAUGUUUUAUUUAUGUAAGUGUGAGAUUCUGUGCAGACAAAACAAAGACAUGAGGUCAGGUUCAGUCUCUGUUAUCGUCUGUAAUCUGUGAACCUGUGGAUUAAAUGACAGGUGUACAGAUUAUCUAUAAACUGUAGAUCUAAAUGAAACAGGUUACCUGGUCCGUCUUCACCUGGAGGAGCAGACAGGUGUGUUUUAGACCCUCUGACUUCCUCUUAUAAAUACUCUCUGUUCCCGUUUAUAAAAUAGAUUUUUGUUAAAAUUAAAAAACACAAAAAUCUUCUCUGGAAUUUUUUUUUUAAUCUUGUUUCUCCUAAAACGUCUCAUUCAGUCCAGAUUCACCUGAUGAAUCCAGACCACUCAGGCUGUUUCAGAAACUAGAUCUGGGUCCUGGUCCUGAUCGGGUCACACCACAGACCUCAGGGGGGUUUAUCGGACCACUGAUCUCUGUGAAGGAGCAGAUCCAUGUCCUCCUGACCCCUCACAUCAGUCUGCACCUUCACUUCACAGACACAACCAGGACAUGACAUCAUUUCACUGCACUGCAUUGUGGGAAACCAUGUCUCUCACUUAGCGUCCACUGGGGGGCAGCAUGCCAUUGGUUAUUUUGUACAGGUGUGUUUAGUUCCAGCAGGUUCAGACACAGAGGAGCCUGUUACUGCAGAGAACACCUGGUCCAGGAUCAGGUCUUUGUCCAGAGACCCUCAG